GAUCAUUAUUGAAUACGAUUGGUACUGAUGCUGGCUCUUUACUGGGCAUGUGCUCGUCCAUCUAUUUAUCUUCUCUUGUGCACAUCUUGUAGUCUUGGAUGAAACCUCUCGCAGUCAAAUGCGGUUUGGGAGAUUGGGCGCGAGCCCUUUUCCUGCUUCUUCAAGGCUAUGUUUUCAUAUACACUAUAAAGUUUCAGAAUGUCUUUUAAAGAUUGUGCUUGUCGCAGUCAUUAAACCUAUACAACUUUCAGCAACGGAUCUCUUGGCUCUCCUAUCGAUGAAGAACGCAGCGAAAUGCGAUAAGUAAUGUGAAUUGCAGAAUUCAGUGAAUCAUCGAAUCUUUGAACGCACCUUGCGCCCUUUGGUAUUCCGAAGGGCAUGCCUGUUUGAGUGUCAUUAAAUUAUCAACCUUGCUCGCUUUUACCGGCUUGAGUGAGGCUUGGAUGUGAGGGCUUGCUGGCUUCCUUCAGUGGAUGGUCUGCUCCCUUUAAAUGCAUUAGUGGGAUCCUUUGUGGACCGUCACUUGGUGUGAUAAUUAUCUAUGCCAUAUGACUUUGAAGCAAACUUAUGGGAACCCGCUCAUAACCGUCUUCGGACAAUCUUGACAUUUUGACCUCAAAUCAGGUAGGACUACCCGCUGAACUUAAGCAUAUC
rnacentral:rRNA from 1 species